CGAGGAGCACCUGAAUGUAGCAUUCGUCGGUGGUCGCACAUGACAUCAGAUCCCAGCCAUGCAAAUGUUUGGCUAGUGCUAACUGCUAACAUGGACCGUUGGGUAAACAGGUGUAAACCUCGUGAGCUGGCAGAAGAUUGGUCCGGACUGUUGUACCCUUCCUAAGGAUAUCACAGAUCCGGUUACUGCACAAGCAGUGGCACUCCCUUCGCUGGAGAUCUGCUCGCUGCCCCUGCGAGGCCUCACUCUGCGCUCGGCUCGCUGACCUUAAGAUAGCGCCUCGGAGAGAUACUUCAAUCCAAGAUUCACGGAGGUGCGGGCCCACCUCUGCUACAAAACAGCGCAGGCAACUGUGAUGAUGGGUGCGGAUGAAAGAUGACUUAUGAACGAAGCAACGCUCAGUAGGAAUCUGUGGCUUGCGAGAGGGUCUGCCUAGGGGAAAAAAAAAAAAAA